UCAGUUGGCUUAUAAUUGAAGUCUAGUAUGAAUGGGAACACGGGAAUAUUCUGUCUUUAAUAUAUAAAAGAAAUUACUAAUUAAGUGAAAAUUCUUAAAAGUAAGAAAAUAGACGAGAAGACCCUAGAAAUUUUUUUAAUUUGAUUUUGUUGGGGCGACAGGGUAACAAAAAACUUACCUAAAGUAAUAGGAAAUUUUUUAGUGGUGUAAUUAAAUUACUCUAGGGAUAACAGCAUAAUAUUUUAAAGGUUGUGACCUCGAUGUUGGACUAGGAAAUACACUACU
rnacentral:rRNA from 1 species